AAACCAAAAACCAAGAGCAGCCCAACUGCCCUCACGCUCGUUAAAUCAUCCCGCUACCAGCCCCAGGCUUUUGUCCACCUUUUGUGGUGUCACCCCAACCGGUUUCAGACGGCAAUCAGCCCCGAGAGCCCCAAGCACGGGCUGGCCUCCGUGCCCCCGGGGGUUGCCGAGCCCUCGCUCGCACGCCAGCGAGCCCGGCAAAGCCCUCGAGCCACUGAAACGUAACGCUGGGCUUCUCGUGGUGUUCGUCUGCUUCUGCGGGGACUUACCUGCUUGUCACAUCCCUCCUCGCCUAAAGAGCCGGCUUCUUCCGAAAACCCUGGCCAAUUGCGCAUUGGCACCUUCACCAGGCUGAGCUUGAGCACGGGGCUCAGCAGAAGCAUCUCUGUCGGGACGUGGAAGCCCAGGGGGACGUCCGACGGCACUUCCCUGCACCGAGCAUCGCCGCCUGCAGCCAGCGGUGAGCUGCUCAGACAAUUCCAGCCUCCGCGGGUGGCUCCCGUUCCCCGGGCAGGCUGAUUUCUGCCACCAGGCUUCCUGCGUGGUGGGCAGGCAGGGCCACGAUCCUCUGCCCGUCUCGAAGCACGAUGAUGAGAACACGCUGCAGACUUCUCAGCAAAGAGCUGCAUCCUCCUGCUGGCCUUAUGCACGAGACACAACCCGCUCUGUGCCGCCACGCGGCGCGGCCGUUCCUCCCCGCCAGCAGAGCCCCUAAAUGCUCGGCUCCCAUCACGGCUCUCGGUUUGGGAUUAUUUUAUUCUCUCUCCUUGGCAGGGAGCUUUAUUGCUGUGUGCACAGGCAAACACCGAGCAAAGGCAAGUUAUUUUUCCAAUAAAAGUCACUUGGGUUGAGCCAGGCUGAAUCUCAUUUUGCACUUCCUGCUUUUAUUUCCAGCUUCCAUUUAUUUUCCUGUCCCCGCCGCCGCGUCCAGCCCUUGCACUGCAGCUUUAGCCACACGUGUAACUGAAGCUGGCUGUGUUAUUACCACCUCUUAAAGACUAAAGACUGUUAUGCUACCUGGCUGCGCUCACAGGCCCUGAAGCAGCUGCGUCCCUCGUAUUUUGCCCUUCUACCUGAAUUGUCUCUUAUUACCAUUAUUUAUAGCUUCCGAUAAAAAUGAAAGCAGUGCCCAAGUAGCCUGAAUGGAUUAGUUAACCUUACACGCCAACGAGCAUCCUGCAUGCUGGACUUCAGACGAAUCUGUACCAGACAACUCUGCCCAUCAGCACCAAAAAUGCUCAGAAAAAAAAAAAAAAAGGAACUGCAAUAACUCCACCUGCACAAGUGAGAUCCUGUUCGGGACAAGGCACAGAUCCAUUCACGAAGGACAACCUGAAGAAAUGAGCCCGAAGCGCAUUUGACUUCAUCUCCGUCUCCCCAAAACAGCUAUUUUUAAGGAAAAUAACAAAAACACUACUUUAUUUCAAGCUUAUUUCACAGGGAUCUCUAUUAUUUGGAAGAAUAAUAUAAUAAGAAUAAUUAGAUCACAUUUCCCAGGAAAGAAUAUUUUGUUAUUUGCUUCAGACUUCCUUAUUUUAGCUUAAAAACUAGAAAUAAGGAAAUGGACAAAUAACGAUUAAGUGCACAAUAAUGAUUACGUAAUGAUAAAUGUGCAGCAGGUCCAUAAAAGGACUGAGUCGGGUUUUUGUUUUUUUUUUUUUUACCCCCAUUACUACUUGUUGCAAAAGAGUUAACUUUCCACGGCGAUCUACAAUAGCGCCCGAAGCUUUUAGAAUAAAAACACAACCCCCCCGGCAUAUUUACUGCCGCCUGUGGAUGUGUCGCCUACCAGGUUCCCUUCCAGCGCCCGUUUUGGAAUCCUCUCCAGAACAAAGCGCUUGUGAGUUGGUCUGGCACGCAACAACUCCUGGCACGGCACCAGCAAGGGACGGGCACUUUUAGCUGCUGCUUCCGAACCAAGCAGCAAACAAGCAGGGCCAGCACAUUACAGAGCAGAGAGGAAAAACUGCCGGAGUUUGUGGGUUUGUUUGGGGUUUUUUUUUUGUUGUUCGUUGGGUUUUUGUGCGUUGUGACUGGUGGUUUGUUUGUUUGUUUGUUUUUUUUUGGUCAAUCGAUAAAUUCAAAACCAAAACCCUGCUCUUAACAUGAUUUCACUACCAACUACUGCUAGCGGGCAGAAACAGGCAGACCCGGAUGAACGGUCUACGGAAGUAUUUCAAGCCUGCAAGCCUGCUUUGGCUCAUCACCAGAACAUUUGUAUCAUUUAUUUAUUAUUUUAUUUUUAUUCCACCCGGGCCAGCCCGGUGCUAGCAGGCAGCAUUUUUGGCCACCGGCGGCUGCCACGCAGAUCGCCAGCGACCACAAGGUAAAUCCACACCUGAAACAAAAAGCCCCAAGCAUGGGGCAAAUCGGACGACUCCAAAAAUUGGGGUCCAGACCAUAAACGUCCCUUUCUGUUCAGGCCACCGCAACAGACGCUUCCUGCGGCAUUUCCAGCUUGGAGUGCCGGAGGAACCUCGGUGAAGGCCGCCCCGGCAGCGGUCCGGCUGCGCUGCCGGACUGCAGGAGCGAUAACCAAGCUAACCACCCCGCCUGGCUUUGCUCUUGCUUUGUUUCCUAAAGAGAUGUUUCCUACAGCCCUGCAUGAGAGGGCAGGGUCUCCGAAAGCUCACGCUGGGGUUUUUCUAGCCCUUAAAUGCAAAGGAAGCUCAAUGACAUCCAACGUUUCCGACGGAUCCCGCCUAGAAGCGACCACUUCUCCGAGCACCCAGGGCAGCGUGGCGGAAGGCAACGAGUAACACAGGCUGCACCUCCCCGACAUGAGACGGUCGAGCUCCUGCAUUUCAGUGCAAGGAGCGCUCGAGCCCAUGGGGUUCAUUGCUCUGCCGGCCCCAAAAAGCCUCUUCUGGUCCCCACGUGCCGCCUACGGCCCAAAGACCCCCAGCAGCGCUGCGCUACGAGAUGCAAGCAGAAGCGACAGCGCUUCACGUGGAAUUUGAGGUCUGACUCCAAGCCGUGAAGUUUCUCCUACCUUUACGAACCUUUUAGGGAAGAAAAGCAGCACGACAGCAGCACAAGGAGGCAGAGGACGGGCGAGCCACCUGACGAGCAGCUGCGUUGGGAGGCAGAGCCACGCCAGGCACAACAAGAGGAGCCCAGGAGGCUGCGUACCCGCGCCAGCCCCUCCGGCUGCCGGGGCCAGCCCUGGUACUGCUCUGCUGCCCGCUAGCUGCGCAGCUCGUGGCACCUCAGGUCAGUUCGAUGAGAAAUUAAGAAGGAAAACGUUCCUCUUGUGGAUGGGUAACCCCAGCCAGAGCACCGGCAAUUCCCAGGCACGGUGCUCCAGCUCGAGCGGUCGGGUACGCGCACAAAUCUGACCUUUGCAGGCGUGUUCUGCAACGGGAUUUAUCUGCUCCGUUCCGACUUGCUGACCUUCAUCCUGCCCAGCCAAACACAACCACAGCAAAGGGCUCUCAGCUCCCCACGAGAGGGACAAGGCACUCCAUGGACACCACCUACCCACUGCAUCUUCUUCCACAGCUUCAGAAGGGCGUUGUUAAACGCCUACAGAAGCGAGCAGGGGCACAAAACACCACAAACGACAGCCCAGGACUGAGCCUGUGUUACAGCACGCAGCGCGGCAGGGCUCUCAUUUCCCGGCGGGGGCCUCUGGCUCCCUGCACAGCCCCGCACCCCUUCUGCGGACGGGAAGGGGACCCUAACUCUAAAGGCCCCAUAAACACGUUUUACUUCUCACCGAAGCCACGCAGGUAGAAAAAUCUCUGCAGGAGUACAUCAUUGCAAACAAAGGGGAAAAAAAAAAAAAGUGAUUUGCUAAAGACAUGGCUCCAGAAGACUUGCAAGGAAUUCACGGUGAGCAGACCUCUGCCCUCCCUGUAAGCUCAAAGCAUUAAUCCAGGAUCCAGCUCCUUACCGAAGAGGCCGAGCACAAAGUUUCUACUUUUACCUGCAGCAGCGUCUUACCCACGCAGGAAAGCCCCACGAGUGGUUUCUGAGCAGCAACCACGGGUAAAUUCACUCGGGAUCUAAAAGCCACGAGCUCGCAGAUGAAGCCAGCACGAUGCUGGCUGCCAGGAAAAGGCAGCCUGAGGAGGAUACCGACACCUCUGUCGGCCUUCCGCGGGGCAUUGUUCCUCUAGCAAAUUCAGGUUAUAAUCCUUUGGUGUCUGAGGCUCUCCUGAUCAGGAGAAGAAAGGAAUGGAUUGGGAAGACGGCUCGAAUGGUCUUCAUGCUCGCUUGUUUCUGAUAACACAGAAGGAAGCUUUACUUAAUAAAGGCAAUAUUUGGAAGAUAUUCCUUUAACAGGUACCCUCUUCCAGGGGACUAUACCUCCAAGGAAGCUCACACCCAAGAAAUCCCUGCUUCUUAUCGAUUAAGAAAAAAAAAAAUCUGGGACCCUGGCUCAGUUUUGGCAGCGCUGCCUCUGUCCAGGCUUGCUCCCUUCCUCACCACACCGCUCACGUGCUUCGUCUUCCAAGACGUCAGCCUGAAAGCAAAGUCCACGGCCCCGUGCAUCGGCCAGAACACUGCCUCCGCGUUUCCAGGCGCCUCCCUUACCUUGGAGCUCGUCGUGACUCAGCAGAGAGGGGAAAAUAAAAAAAAAAAAAAAAAAAAAGCUCCUGCCACUCAGCUUUUCCCUUUCUGUUCCCCUCGAAUGGCGACAGAAAUUUAAAAAAAAAGAAAAAAAACCACUGCUUCUCAGUAAACCUUUUAUGGAAGACCUGGCAAAUCUCUGAACCUCACGGACAGAUCUUAAGGAGGAGACUCGUUCUGCUGCCUCCAGCCGCUCUGCCUGCACUCAAACAGCAACACAGAGCUCAGCACCAGGCGCAGCCACACGCUGAGCUGCAGCAGCAUCCUCAGCCCCCACGCCCACACUGCACGGGGCAGCGAUGUUUGGAGCUUUCUUUGUCGCAGGAAGGGAGGCAAGGAAUUAAUUCUGAUCAGAGGAGGGAAAAGAGCUCCUCUGGGCUGCAUGUCAACCAUCGGCUGGCCUGGGCAGAGGAAGGCAGAAGAGGACGAGGAUGUUGCAGCUCCCUUUUGGCACAGGGAGCAAAGCACUGACUGUGGGGACGUCUGGGCUCGAGGCAGCUCCCGUCCCCCACGCUCUGGAUUUGCGAGAGCACGAGGAAGACUUCCCUGCUCUGGGUCAGCGGCUGAUGAUGGGUCUGAGCCUGUCGAGCAGCCUCCCAACUCCCCACGCCGUUGCUUAGCUCGGUCCCCACCUACUCAUGCGCUCGAGGGCCCGCUCCGGCCACGUGUGCUUGUGGCACUGCGCCCGGAGAGCCCUGCUGCGACCCGAGGAGCACCCGGAGAGCCAGCAGCCCCUCUCUGGAGCCCUCUUAAGAGCCUCUCCCCACGCACAAGGCUCCCAGACUUCAUUUCAUUCUCCCCGCUGGCACCAGCGACAACACCGGCACGUUCACCGCCUGCUGGAGUCCAGGCCAGAAGCGAAGUAUUAAAAAAACAAGAAUAAUAAGCCUUCAAAUAACAGGUUGCUAAAGCACAGGGAUUUCAGGAAGAGCGCAGCCACUUCUGCAGAUGUUGACCUUUCUGUCGCUGCCGCACGCAGUUUAAAACCCCAAAAGCACCGGGCUGGCCCCGAACGCAGCCUCCUGCCCAGCUUGUUCUAGUAACUACCCCUGAGAAGCCGCAGAAACGAGGAUUUGCUCGCCUGCUGCCCUGCCCCAGCGAAUGCUGCCCAGCCCCUUCGGCCCUAAGUGACUGAAAGAGCACAAAGCAGCGCGCUUGCCCGAGCAAAUUGCCAGCCCUAAGGCCAACCCGACAGCAGAGCUAAUUAUCCGUAUGCUGACUUUCCAAACCCAAACCAAUUUUGAAGCGGAGGGAAGGAAAUUCCAGCAGACAGGCGCACGGCGCGUCCUCGUUUCUGCAAGAGGAACGGCACCUGGGAACAGGCUGGCGAUUACAAAGGAGGAAUUCUUUAUGAUGACCUAAAGCUGAAUCAGAAAUGUUAUUAAAGGACGUUACUUCCUACGGUACAUCCACGGGAAGCGGAGCAGCCUGGCCUCCCGUUUUUGGCUUUUCACGGAGCCGUGGCAGCCGCCCUACGGCGCAUCGGAGCGGGGAGCACUUGACGAGGGCAGCACCCCGCGAACAACCCAGCCAGCCCGCUGCCUCCGACGAGCCCUCAGAAAGGAGGGCAGCCAAAAGCCGGCUGAAGGAACUGCUCUGGCAGAAAAAAACCCUCCUGGAGGCUCCUCGAACCCAGCGAGAGCAGCACGAGCUAUCCCCAGGAGCUCAGGCACGCGCCUGCUGGAAACACCUCGAGCGCCACGCACACGGGAGCGAAACCAGCCUCGCAGAGGCGCUGCCGACACGCUUACUCAGACGAGGUGCCCCACAGCUAAGGUUUUAGGCUUCCCAAAUUGUUGCGUUUGAGUCAGGACAGCUCCGGAAGGUGCCUCAGCUCCCAGCCUCUGAAGCAUUCGGAAUCUGCGACGCAGCCCCGUAAAGCCCCAAACCCCACACCUCUGUGGGAGCAGGAGGAAAACUCUCACACGCACAGAGGAACACAAAGAGGAACGGCGUGAAAAAGGAAAUUAAAAAGGAACAGCUAGAAGUAUUAAGAGCUUGGGGGCGGCAAGAUAACUGCUUAAGAGACGUGUUUAUAUGCUCCAAGCCAGCAGUACACUAACGACGAAUAAAGGCUUCAAACGCUCACGUACACACGCACCCCCUCAGCGGCAGGAAAGGUUUUCAAGGAAUAAGAGAAAGAUUUUCCAGCUCCGCAAAAUUGAAGAGCACAAAUCCCAGUAAGCUAAAUGCAACUGCAAGAUAAGCUAUUAAAAAAAAAAAAAAAAGACUUUUUAAAAGCUAAUUUUUUAAUAUACGAAAACCUGUAACUUACUCAAACAGCAGAGGGAGGAAACCUGCCAGAGCAAGCAAGGGGGUGGGAGCUCUUCGGGAAAGCAAACCCGGCGUGCAAGGGCUGGCAAAAUGCUCCGCUGCGUGCCACCGGUGGGUCCAGGGAGCUUCUGCACCGAAACCUCUCCUGCCGCCACCGACCGAGGCGUUAACAGAAGGUGCUGAGACCAGCGCAGCAAAACGAACAGUUGCGUUUGCUCACACGCGCGUAGAACUGCCCGGCCACGAACACGGCAUCAGCAACAACCUACUGCUGACGUCGCUGUUACUGCGAGAGGAGCGAAAGACGGAGAACACGACACCCAUUUCCGCGGCACGCGAAGAAUCCAGCCCGCUGCAGAGCGCUGAACGUGACUGGGCGGAGCAGGAAAAGGCUUCCUUACAAAACUGUUAGCAAACUUGUAGAUGUACAAUACGGGAAGGAGGGAACAGCUGCCUCGGGUGGCAUUCAUGGAGUUUAUUUACCAGCGCUCUUUGGAGGAGUCAGGCUUGUUAACCAGGGGCAUCUGGUCAACACUCGCGUGUUAAAAGCACUCAAAACUCCAAGGAAAAAAAAAAAAACAGACGGUUGAUUUUCAUCUAGUUUGUUGUGCUUACCAGCGGUUUGAAGAAGGCCAGAGGCGGAGGGCACAGAACUGUUCGGUUUGAUUAGCCCCAAAGCAAAAAGCUGCAGGGGAUCUCACAAUGCCACUAUCAGGUGAGAGAACAACAAUAAAUUCAGUGUCGGCAGCCUAAAGCAGGGCGCUUGCUGGGGAGGAAGCGGGGACAAGCCCUUUGUCAUACACCAGCAGCGAGGGGCCCCAAAUUAACUGCGGCCACCGAGGAGGAAAGACGGGAGUGUUAUUAGGGCCACACUGCCAGCAGGGCUGGCUCAGGCCAGAGAGACCCCAAGGAACCAUGAGCAGAAGGGAAAGCAAAGCCCAAAACAUCACCGUGCCGCUUAAUCCAGCUCAAGAACCGAAUCUGCACCUUCAUCACUACGUGCAGCUCGGAUCUUCCCAGCGUCGCUGCAAAAAGGUGAGAGCUCUACGAGAAAAGAUGCCAGGAAAAGCGACAGAGAUCGUGGGCGAUUCAGAACAGCGCUAGCAGGAAAACUGACUGAAUUGGUUCAGAGCUUCCAGCUUGGAAGGCGAAACAAGAAAAAUAGACAGGGAAACGAAGGGAAAACAAAAAAAGGCAACAACUGAACAACAAUUUCUCAUAAUCCUUCGUGACAGCCCAGGCCUUGUCCUAGCAGAAAACAAUUUGAAGCCCUCAAGAAGUACACAAUGCGCAACUAAGCUGCAGAAUUCAUCACCUUGAAAGGUUUGAAUGUUAGAGCAAUAGCCGGCUGAGUGAUGAGACGGGGAAAAGACCCGUCAGAAGCUCGCGAGCAGAGCGGUGCUGGUGCAAUCCGAGCAGCGAACUCCGAAGGACAGACCGAAGAAACCAGACGCGUGUGCCCGUACCUGCUCUGAACUCGGUUCGAUAAGCACCCCUUCCUCACGGCCGUCGGAGACAAAACAACGAACACGAAGGGCCUUUGAUGUGACCGGCACAAACAUUUGCAAGAUUUUCUUAACUAUCCAUCAGAGGGCAACUCCUUACGUUUAUCCUGAGCCCCCACUGCUGCAGCUGUAGUCCAGACCUCAGUAACACACAGCAAUACUGUAAGAAUAAUAUACAGCAAUUCUGCGGUUUUUAUUUAAUAAAAAAGCUCUUCUUCAUCUUUUCAACAGUCUGUCCUAUAUCUGAAGAUGAAUUACAUGCCCGCCUUGUCUUCUCUGGGUUAAGCAAUCCCAGUCAUUUCAUGGUUUUUUCCUCAGAGGCUGUUUUUGCUCUCCUCUGGGACGAGGGAAUCACAAAAAAACGUAUUAUUAGGCUUCUGCGUCCACAGAAUAAAUGUCCAUUUUAUUUAAAAAAAAAAAAACUUCCAACCACUGAAAGUGGAAUCGGGAGGAGCACGACAGCAGGGACAGAGCAGGUAGCGUUCAACGCCGCAGGGCCGGCUUCCAAAGCAGCCCAGCAGAGCUCCGAGGAGGAGCCCGGCUGCCAGCCCCGAGGAAAUACUGCGAAGUCACACGCAGCGACAGCUCCAGAGGACAGCAGCGCGGACUCCUACGGCAGCUUCUCCCUAACGGUACCGGGGAAAUCUCUCCCUUUAGCUUACGACCUCACAACACUGCCGCCAGGCAUCAAAGGUGCCCGGGGGGUAAGCAGAGAAACAAAGUCGGUGAGCUGCAAGAGCCCAGACACACUUCCACAGCCCCCGGAACAGGAACAGGCACUCGAUAAUCUGCCCCUUGACAGUGAUUCAUUAAAUUCCAGAAAGGAAUGUACUUCUGUGAGAGAAAGGAAGAAAAACGCAAGCUAUAAAUAACCGGGCAGCACAUUCCCGCAAGCUGUUCCCUUCAGCCUGCACCGGGGUGCGGACUGAAAUAAAAAGGGUUACACAAUUAUAGGGAUUCGCCGUCCCAAAGCGGUUUCCAGAACCUUAACGCUGCAAGCGAGGAAUUAUUCCUAAAAGCUGGCGUCGUGAAGUGAAGCGUACCUCCAGGCAGGGCUUGCCGUGCCAUGCGCGUCCGUCUCCUGACGUACCUUUAGUGCUGGUGCUGAAUUACUUCACAGGAGCCCUCGCUGGUUAUUUUUCUUUUCCUCUCCACAGCAGAAAACACGGAGCUGAAGAGCAUCAGCCUGACCAGAAGGGAACACUAAUAUAAUUCAAGCAGCACUGCAACGAGCUGUCUUUUAAAAGACACUUAAUUACGUGCAUAUGAACAGCGGCACAGGCUCGUUUGCAGGAGAUUGCAGUUUCCCCGUCUGGGUGGCAGGAGAACGGGCUGAAAGAUGCUUCAAAAGAUCCCGCGAGGCUUUUAUUAGCAGACAAUUCACAGUUGCUACAAGCAGCUUCCUGAGCGAGCUCUGCGGGCAGCAGUCAGCGUCUGGACGGGCUGUGCCCUGCCGCUUCUCCGCCGCGCUCCCUCGCCGGCGGCCGGCCCUUGGCGCUCGCCGCACGUAGCGCGGAGAUGGGACGGGCACAGCCACCCGAAGCAGCUGGAGGGCACCAAGCGGCGGCCACGACACCUCGGUGAAGUUUUGCCUCCGCAAGUCCGCUCAGCUGUCUGCCUCGGGGGAUUUUUAUUUUUUUUAUUUUAUUUUUUAAAACGGAUGCUGCGUGUAGUUUUUGAGUGCUCUUCAGUUCUUACCCGGCUUGGGACCUCGAUGGGGAACUUCGUGGCCGGUCCCAGCACGCGUACGAGAAGAUCCCAACCCUGCUCCACGCUGCCCUGCCCUCCUGCUCGGCUGGAGGACAGCGCAGCAGUCGCAGCCGCCUGCCACCAGCGUUGGUAGGCGCGAGCAGGAGGGUGCCCACCGUGCCCUCUUCGCGCCUCCCCGCGGAAAUACUCAGCGGGAAGCUCCUAAACCCGCCGCCUGUCGCUGCCCCUCGCUCCACAUCUGCGACGCAGACCCUUAUCCUCGUCUCACCCACGGCAGCAGACGAGGACCAGCCCGGCUGCCCGUCCUGCCCAGCACCCAGCCCCGAAGGCUGGCACAGCACCGCUGCUCCUGCUCCCUGCCGACACCCCAAAAACCAGCUCCGCUCCCCAGCCGAGCACCCUUCUGCCAGGUGAGGAGCUGAAGCAGCUCACAGAGGGCAAAGCCAAGCCGUGGAUGUCAGGUAUCUGACAGCACAGCUGGCCCCCAGACCCAGCCGUCACAUCCCUCGUGCCACCCACCCUAGGCACUGGGAUGCCACAAAACGAGCCCGAGAUGAAGCGGGGGGCGAAGUGAUCCAGCCGAAAUAAUGAAGUGGGAAAGGGGAGGGCAGUGUUUCCGCACCCACCUGAGCCCUGCGCCACGCUGACACCUGGGAGGAGGAAAUGAAAGACGGGGAAAAACGCCUGUGGCAGUGCCAGCUGCCAAGCCGUGCCCCGUAGCCCCGGGAGGCACCCAGCACUCACCUGCCGGCUUCGUGCCCACCUUCGCAACACAAGAGGGCAGGGCAGGGCAGGACGAAGACACCCGGCUCUCAUAAGCUUUUGGUUUUUUAUGUAGCUGGGUCAUUUUUUCCACCCAGCCCCAUUGCCGAUGGGGUUUACCAAGGACGCACCUCCCAGCUGAGGAGGCGCUGGGCGCUCAGAGGGACUAACGGGAGCCCCACCACCUGCCUGGCCCUGAGAGCCAAGCCCCAGUUUUCAGAGCUCUGCACCAGAAAACGGAACGGGACAGGCACAGAGGCUGCGACAGAGCCAGGACCCCAGCAAGCUGCUGCUAUUCGUCCUGCAAAACAACGGCUCCAGCCCGGAGCAGCGAGAGGGGAGCUUGGGGCGCCCCCAAAACCAGCGCGGAGCCUCGGCGCUCAGCCGGCAGGACUGCCAUGCUACUUUCUUUACUCCCAGAAAAUAUUUUUAUUUGUUAUCCCUUUGAAUCAGGAGACCCAGAACGCUACACGAGGCGGCUGAGGACCUCCGGCUCCGGUGUUGAAGCAGGACCACGGCACGGGGCGGGUGCAGGCAGCAGGAUGAGCACGGCACGGUGCCGGGAUGAUAAAAGGGUCGGCCAGGCAGCUACGGGUCAGCCGGGACGACGCUAAUCCCAAACACAGUCGUGGAAAACUCGAUAAAGGAUUAAGAGAAUAGAGCCUAAUUACAGUCCUGCUUUAAUCUCCGCCGAGAGCUGCUUAGGAGAAACUACACCCUAUCAAGUGGGCUCAGUUUCAUUCUUAGGUUAAACAACUCUGUAAUCUCCCCAACAAGCACAAUUAGCAGACAGACACCAAACUCCUGUUAAAAGUACAGUUCUGUAUCAAAGCACGCAGGGAAUGACUAAUUGCUGUUUGAGAUCUAAGGUUUGUCAGCUUUCUGAAGGGGUUCAGGUAAGUACAAGCCCUAGCGUAGCUGAUAAAAUCUCAACCACCGAGGAACAAUCCAGAAAGUAAAUAUAUAUCUCAAAAGAAAAAAAAAAAAAAAACAAAAAAAAACGAUGAUAUAAUUUGCAGAUGACACAAAAGCUGGCAGAGUAACAGCGCCUGAAAUCAGGCAGCUACGGAGAACAAUCCCUUGCAAACCUCGGUCCUUCCCAGCAGCUCACGCUGCAGCAGCCUCCAGUACAAAGGUACAGGCGGAGCCACGAGGAGCACGAUCCACAGCUUCCAGCAACUGAAUUCCCAAGAAAACAGCUCCGCAUGAAGUACUAAACCCUGCUCUAAUGCUGAGGAAAAGACAGCUGCUCCAAGCUCUCAGGGUAUGAACAGGAGACUACUCCGGAGAGCACAGACAGAAUUUUACCCGCACCUAAAGCGCUGAGGAGGCAGCGGGAACGCUGUGGCUAUGUCUGUGUGGCCGGAGGGGUUUUUGCUUUAAUUUAUCGAACACUGCUUAAAAAUUCUUCCCCGAUUUCUAAAAGCUGCCAGUGCAGCUUGAGAGCAAGAAAGGCAAGGCAUCUGAAGCAGCGGCCGAUUUAAGAAGCUCGAGCCGUAGAACUGCAAAGCAGAUUAAGAAGUCACUUGCAAAUCCAAGCGCCCACUUUAACCGUGAGAUGACAUCGGCUGCUAAAGGACACUGCAGAGUAACAGGGGAAGCGACAGCAAAAUAUCCGCAGGCUGAAACCCAAAAAAGAAAAUGCAAAAUGAUCAGCAAGUCAUACAACCACACGGGCUCGUCCGUCGGUGACGGGCUGAGCACGGGGAGAAGCGAGUGACGCUGCGUGGCCCACGUACACGGGCUGUCGUACAGAAUAACCCCGCUGCUUCGCCUGCCCUUACCCCGUACCGGUCUGAGUCAUUCGUUUAUGAUCUGGGAGCACAGCACAAAACAGGGAGCUGAAGAUAAGACAUUAUAUGUGAAGAGCUAGGGAGAAGUUAGAAAAAGUCACAGAAGGCAGUAAAACAGCAUUAGCUACGUGAUAACCUUUGUGUGUUUUAGGGGAAGCAGCAGCGGUGAGAUAUUUCAGGACAAGCACUCAGCAAACGCUGCACGAGGUUGCACGGUGAGGGACCAGCCUCUUCCCCUGAGUGACUUCGGGUUAGAAAGUGCAGAGGCGUCCAGCAGCGAGGGCGACGCAGCAACCAGCCCCGCUCACGGUGACCGCGGCUACAUCGUGGUCCAGCACUAGCUCCCUCUCACUG